UACGUAGGGGGCAAGCGUUAAUCGGAAUUACUGGGCGUAAAGCGUGCGCAGGCGGUUAUGCAAGACAGGUGUGAAAUCCCCGGGCUUAACCUGGGAACUGCAUUUGUGACUGCAUAGCUAGAGUACGGUAGAGGGGGAUGGAAUUCCGCGUGUAGCAGUGAAAUGCGUAGAUAUGCGGAGGAACACCGAUGGCGAAGGCAAUCCCCUGGGCCUGCACUGACGCUCAUGCACGAAAGCGUGGGGAGCAAACAGG
rnacentral:rRNA from 1 species